UACGUAGGCAGCAAGCGUUGUUCGGAAUUACUGGGCGUAAAGAGUACGUAGGUGGUUUGCCAAGUCCGAUGUGAAAUCUCCUGGCCUAACUGGGAGGGUGCGUUAGAUACUGGCAGGCUUGAGUGUGGGAGAGGAGAGCGGAAUUCCUGGUGUAGCGGUGAAAUGCGUAGAUAUCAGGAGGAACGCCUGUGGUGUAGACGGCUCUCUGGACCAUUACUGACACUGAGGUACGAAAGCGUGGGUAGCAAACAGG
rnacentral:rRNA from 1 species